GUAAUGGCAGGUCAGCAUACUGCCGUGAAUACGUUCCCGGGCCUUGUACACACCGCCCGUCACACCAUGAGAGUUGGAAAUACCCGAAGCCUGUGAGCUAACCUUAUAGGAGGCAGCAGUCGAAGGUAGAGUCAAUGAUUGGGGUGAAGUCGUAACAAGGUAGC
rnacentral:rRNA from 1 species